rnacentral:rRNA from 1 species
UACGAGGGGGGCAAGCGUUGUUCGGAAUUAUUGGGCGUAAAGGGUGCGUAGGCGGUGCGGUAAGUCUGUUGUGAAAUCUCCGGGCUCAACUCGGAGUCUGCAUCAGAAACUGCCGUGCUGGAGUGUGGGAGAGGUGAGUGGAAUUCCCGGUGUAGCGGUGAAAUGCGUAGAGAUCGACUAGAACACCGGUGGCGAAGGCGGAUCUCUGGACAGUUCCUGACGCUCAGGCACGAAAGCCAGGGGAGCAAACGGG